GAACUGCGAUAAGUAAUGUCGAAUUGCAGAAUUCAGUGAACCAUCGAAUCUUUGAACGCACAUUGCGCCCGCCAGCAUUCUGGCGGGCAUGCCUGUCCGAGCGUCAUU
rnacentral:rRNA from 1 species